CCCCUAGAUGUUCUGGGCCGCACGCGCGCUACACUGAACAGUUCAACAAGUCUUAACCUUGGCCGAUAGGUCUGGGUAAUCUUUGAACGCUGUUCGUGAUUGGGAUAGACCUUUGCAAUUAUGGGUCUUCAACGAGGAAUUCCUAGUAAACGCAAGUCAUCAGCUUGCAUUGAUUACGUCCCUGCCCUUUGUACACACCGCCCGUCGCUCCUACCGAUUGAGUGGUCCGGUGAAUUAUUCGGACUGCAACGCGUUCAGCUUCUGGAUGCAGUUGCGGAAAGUUUUGUAAACCUUAUCACUUAGAGGAAGGAGAAGUCGUAACA
rnacentral:rRNA from 1 species